rnacentral:tRNA from 1 species
GCCUCUGUAGCUCAGUGGAGAGAGCGAGGGACUUCUAAUCCCGAGGUCGCAGGUUCGAAUCCUGCCAGGGGCACCU